GAUGAACGCUGGCGGCGUGCCUAAUACAUGCAAGUCGAGCGGACAGACCAGGAUUUUGCUCCGCUGACGGUAGCGGCGGACGGGUGAGGAACGCGUGGAUCGCCUACCUAUAAGACUGGGAUAACUUCUGAACCCCGGAGCUAAUGCCUAAUAAUCUAUUGAACCGCAUGGUUCAAUAGUGAAUGACAGUUUUUCUUUCACUGAUAGAUGGAUCCGCGCCGCAUUAGCUGGUUGGUGAGGGAACGGCUUACCAACACCACGACGCGUAGCCGACGUCCGAGGGUGAUCGGCCACAGCGGAACUGAGACACGGACCAGACUCCUACGGGAGGCAGCAGUAGGGAAUCUUCCGCAAGGGGCGAAAGCCUGACGGAGAAGCGCCGCGUGAGUGAUGAAGGUCUUCGGAUCGUAAAACUCUGUUAUUAGGGAAGAACAAAUGUGUAAGUAACUAUGCACGUCUUGACGGUACCUAAUGAGAAAGCCACGGCUAACUACGUG
rnacentral:rRNA from 1 species